rnacentral:rRNA from 1 species
UGGCGACACCGCGCGGAACCCGAAAGCCGUUCUCAGUUCGGAUCGGAGUCUGCAACCCGACUCCGUGAAGCUGGAUUCGCUAGUAAUCGCGCAUCAGCCAUGGCGCGGUGAAUACGUUCCCGGGCCUUGUACACACCGCCCGUCAAGCCAUGGGAGCCGGGGGUGCUUGAAGUGCGUCGCCGCAAGGCGCGCCCUAGAGCAAAACCGGUGACUGGGGCUAAGUCGUAACAAGGUAGC